rnacentral:lncRNA from 1 species
ACUUUUUGAGAAGGAAGAUUAAUCAGAAAUAGAAGAAGCCUAGGAGAUGGAGAGAAGAGGGACCAGGGAUAGAAAGAGAGCAUUAUUUUAUUUUAAGAGAGCAUCUGAGAGGCUAGAGAGACUCAAGAUGGGUUCAGGUUCAGCCAUUUAGAUAAGUGUUUGGGUCUCAUAUUGAGUUCGGAUUUGGUUGGAUCGGAUCGGAUCAUUUAUCUUAAGAUCUAAAUUAACUUAAAAGUCUUUAC